rnacentral:rRNA from 1 species
GGUUAAGUGACUAAGCGUACACGGUGGAUGCCUUGGCAGUCAGAGGCGAUGAAAGACGUAGUAACUUGCGAUAAGCCCAGAUUAGGUAGUAACAACCAUUUGAGUCUGGGAUUUCUGAAUGGGGAAACCCACGUGCAUAAGCACGUAUCCUUACCUGAAUACAUAGGGUAAGGAGGCGAACCGGGGGAACUGAAACAUCUAAGUACCCCGAGGAAAAGAAAUCAACCGAGAUUCCGAAAGUAGCGGCGAGCGAAAUUGGACUAGCCCUUAAGCUUUACACGCGUUAGACGAACGGUCUGGAAAGUCCGACGAUACAGGGUGAUAGUCCCGUAGUUGACGACGUGUGUUCAGUGAAAUCGAGUAGGGCGGGACACGUGAUAUCCUGUCUGAAUAUGGGGGGACCAUCCUCCAAGGCUAAAUACUACUGACUGACCGAUAGUGAACCAGUACCGUGAGGGAAAGGCGAAAAGAACCCCUGUGAGGGGAGUGAAAUAGAACCUGAAACCGUGUACGUACAAGCAGUAGGAGCAGGCUUUGUCGUGUGACUGCGUACCUUUUGUAUAAUGGGUCAGCGACUUAUAUUCAGUGGCAAGGUUAACCAUCUAGGGGAGCCGUAGGGAAACCGAGUCUUAACUGGGCGUUCAGUCUCUGGAUAUAGACCCGAAACCAGGUGAUCUAGCCAUGGGCAGGUUGAAGGUUGAGUAACAUCAACUGGAGGACCGAACCGACUAAUGUUGAAAAAUUAGCGGAUGACUUGUGGCUAGGGGUGAAAGGCCAAUCAAACCUGGAGAUAGCUGGUUCUCCCCGAAAGCUAUUUAGGUAGCGCCUCGGACGAAUACUACUGGGGGUAGAGCACUGUUAAGGCUAGGGGGUCAUCCCGACUUACCAACCCUUUGCAAACUCCGAAUACCAGUAAGUACUAUCCGGGAGACACACGGCGGGUGCUAACGUCCGUCGUGGAGAGGGAAACAACCCAGACCGCCAGCUAAGGUCCCAAAUUACUACUAAGUGGGAAACGAUGUGGGAAGGCUCAGACAGCCAGGAUGUUGGCUUAGAAGCAGCCAUCAUUUAAAGAAAGCGUAAUAGCUCACUGGUCGAGUCGGCCUGCGCGGAAGAUGUAACGGGGCUAAGUAGUAAACCGAAGCUGCGGCAAUGUGCUUUUGCACAUUGGGUAGGGGAGCGUUCUGUAAGCGGUUGAAGGUGUGUGGUAACGCAUGCUGGACGUAUCAGAAGUGCGAAUGCUGACAUGAGUAACGAUAAAGGGGGUGAAAAACCUCCUCGCCGGAAGACCAAGGGUUCCUGUCCAACGUUAAUCGGGGCAGGGUAAGUCGACCCCUAAGGCGAGGCCGAAAGGCGUAGUCGAUGGGAAACGGGUUAAUAUUCCCGUACUUCUUACAAUUGCGAUGGGGGGACGGAGAAGGCUAGGUGGGCCUGGCGACGGUUGUCCAGGUUCAAGUGCGUAGGCUUGAGAGUUAGGUAAAUCCGGCUCUUUCUAAGGCUGAGACACGACGUCGAGCACCUACGGGUGUGAAGUCAUUGAUGCCAUGCUUCCAGGAAAAGCCUCUAAGCUUCAGAUUGUAAGGAAUCGUACCCCAAACCGACACAGGUGGUCGGGUAGAGAAUACCAAGGCGCUUGAGAGAACUCGGGUGAAGGAACUAGGCAAAAUGGUACCGUAACUUCGGGAGAAGGUACGCUCUCGACGGUGAAGUCCCUCGCGGAUGGAGCUAUUGAGAGUCGCAGAUACCAGGUGGCUGCAACUGUUUAUUAAAAACACAGCACUGUGCAAAAUCGUAAGAUGACGUAUACGGUGUGACGCCUGCCCGGUGCCGGAAGGUUAAUUGAUGGGGUUAGACUUCGGUCGAAGCUCUUGAUCGAAGCCCCGGUAAACGGCGGCCGUAACUAUAACGGUCCUAAGGUAGCGAAAUUCCUUGUCGGGUAAGUUCCGACCUGCACGAAUGGCGUAAUGAUGGCCACGCUGUCUCCACCCGAGACUCAGUGAAAUUGAAAUCGCUGUGAAGAUGCAGUGUACCCGCGGCUAGACGGAAAGACCCCGUGAACCUUUACUACAGCUUGGCACUGAACAUUGACCCUACAUGUGUAGGAUAGGUGGGAGGCUUUGAAGCACGUACGCCAGUAUGUGUGGAGCCGUCCUUGAAAUACCACCCUUGUAGUGUUGAUGUUCUAACGUCGACCCCUUAUCGGGGUUGCGGACAGUGCCUGGUGGGUAGUUUGACUGGGGCGGUCUCCUCCCAAAGAGUAACGGAGGAGCACGAAGGUGGGCUAAUCACGGUUGGACAUCGUGAGGUUAGUGCAAUGGCAUAAGCCCGCUUGACUGCGAGAAUGACAAUUCGAGCAGGUGCGAAAGCAGGUCAUAGUGAUCCGGUGGUUCUGAAUGGAAGGGCCAUCGCUCAACGGAUAAAAGGUACUCCGGGGAUAACAGGCUGAUACCGCCCAAGAGUUCAUAUCGACGGCGGUGUUUGGCACCUCGAUGUCGGCUCAUCACAUCCUGGGGCUGAAGUCGGUCCCAAGGGUAUGGCUGUUCGCCAUUUAAAGUGGUACGCGAGCUGGGUUUAGAACGUCGUGAGACAGUUCGGUCCCUAUCUGCCGUGGGCGUUGGAAGAUUGAAGGGGGCUGCUCCUAGUACGAGAGGACCGGAGUGGACGAACCUCUGGUGUUCGGGUUGUGUCGCCAGACGCAUUGCCCGGUAGCUAAGUUCGGAAUCGAUAACCGCUGAAAGCAUCUAAGCGGGAAGCGAGCCCUGAGAUGAGUCUUCCCUGAUACUUUAAGUAUCCUAAAGGGUUGUCGGAGACUACGACGUUGAUAGGUCAGGUGUGUAAGUGCUGUGAGGCAUUGAGCUAACUGAUACUAAUUGCCCGUGAGGCUUAACCAU